UACAGAAACAAGUAGUACAUGCUGGAAUAUUCGGUUACGGAUGCAUUUCCAUUCGAUUGUCCUAAAGGAGGGCGAGUAGAAGUAAGCGAUAUGAGUUUAGAGGAUCAUAUUUGUGUUACUAACACACACCAUAAUCCCACAGGACUUCCUUCCCAUUCCCAUUAAAAGCCACACCCAGGAUGACAGGUAACACGAGAGCGCCUUUCACAGGGUCAGAUUGGAAGAGGUGGGAAAAACAGGCUCCAUUAUAACAGGACCUCUGUGAUGGACAGGUGACCUCUCCAGGCUGCACCCUGCUUCUCACCCAAUAACCACUGGUGAUAGGCACCAGCCCCUCCAAGGCCCUGUAAGGAUGAGCAGGUGAACAUCAAAGAUUUGGAUCAUUUAUGUUGGGUGCUAAAGCAGACUCCCUGCAUCGCAGGUGGGGUCACUCUGGGAGCCACACAGGCUCAGCACAAUGCAACGGCAGCAGUGUGCCUUUUACUGGGCCUCGCGCUGCUGCCUUUACGAGAGCCAGACAGACGGAUCCCCUUCACGCCGUAAAGCCAUCAACAACGGGAACAAAGAGGGCAGGUGCUGAGGACUGCAUUGAGUGCUCACCUGCACCCAGCAGGGGAAUAUAGUGCGUCCAGCCAUGCCAAGAGGCCCUCCACAUUCACAUCCCCACUCACCAUGCACUAAUGGGCUAAGAUGGCAAGCCAAAGAGAAAUUAUUUCUCUUUCUAGACUGAAGCAAAUCAUCAGCCGAUGGCAUCAAAUGUGACAGUACAUGCAUGCAUUGUUUAGUUAGAACAAACUUGGCUUCUGCGAUAUCUAAAACAGGGUAUAAUAGGAUGCUGCUGAACUGUGUAAUUAUCAACAUUUGAUAGGCAACAGAAGUAAUUUUGAUGGUGGCCAUUGCUUGGACCAGCUACACAGAUUUUUAUUUCCUUUUAAAUGAAAUAUUUCACAUAGAUUCCCUUGCAAAAGAGCC